GUAAUCGGAAUGAGUACAAUUUAAAUCCCUUAACGAGGAACAAUUGGAGGGCAAGUCUGGUGCCAGCAGCCGCGGUAAUUCCAGCUCCAAUAGCGUAUAUUAAAGUUGUUGUGGUUAAAAAGCUCGUAGUUGAACCUUGGGCCUGGCUGGCCGGUCCGCCUCACCGCGUGCACUGGUCCGGCCGGGCCUUUCCCUCUGCGGAACCCCAUGCCCUUCACUGGGUGUGGCGGGGAAACAGGACUUUUACUUUGAAAAAAUUAGAGUGCUCAAGGCAGGCCUAUGCUCGAAUACAUUAGCAUGGAAUAAUAGAAUAGGACGUGUGGUUCUAUUUUGUUGGUUUCUAGGACCGCCGUAAUGAUUAAUAGGGACAGUCGGGGGCAUCAGUAUUCAAUUGUCAGAGGUGAAAUUCUUGGAUUUAUUGAAGACUAACUACUGCGAAAGCAUUUGCCAAGGAUGUUUUCAUUAAUCAGGAACGAAAGUUAGGGGAUCGAAGACGAUCAGAUACCGUCGUAGUCUUAACCAUAAACUAUGCCGACUAGGGAUCGGACGAUGUUACAUUUUUGACGCGUUCGGCACCUUACGAGAAAUCAAAGUGCUUGGGCUCCAGGGGGAGUAUGGUCGCAAGGCUGAAA
rnacentral:rRNA from 1 species